rnacentral:lncRNA from 1 species
GGAAUUUUGGCCAUCUGAGUCCAGGAACACCGGCCGGGAGAAUUAACUGUUUGAAGAACGGGGAGCCAGUAGGAAACCCGUAACUCUAAACAGAGAGAGUUAGUAAUCGAAAACAACGUUAAAACCAGGCUGUCUGAUAACGUGAGCGAGCGAUUUGCUGGGCUUUAACACAGCGCCGAUUAUCUUCGAACGGAUCGAGGAUUUCGAGAAUGGCUCUCUAGAAAGAGGCAAGUUUAAAGCAAGCACAAGUCACCGCUUGGAAACACGAGCGAGACUACAGACCCGCUUUCCCUGCUUCUCAGCAGGCUCGCGGAGUUUCUGCCGCUUUCAGCUCUCGCUGCUUGCGUGAAACCCGCAGACACACACGGGCGAGCUGCUCUGUUCCACGCUCCCUGUGCGCUGCAGCCGCCGGGCACAGCCUGGGGGCGCGCCCGCUCGGCACUCCCGGCUUCACACCCACGGGCGCCCCGGACCCAAUCCCGGCCGUUCCUGCCGCCCGCUUUUUUAUAAGGAAUUUCCGAGUUCUAGAGAGUUAGGAGACCUCGGGAGGAGCGGAGAAAAGCCGGCAGCGAGGCUGUAUCUAGACAAACUCCAGGACAAGAACUUUAACCAGAUCUACCGUCAGAGUCAGGGCACAAGAGCUGGUCUUGAGAAGGUCGCCGGCCAAGCAUCAUCUCCCGGAGGCCGAGGGGCUCAGCUCUGCCGUGGCUCGGCACUCCUAUGACCCCAGAUCGGGAUGUGUAUGCCUACCUUAUCACCCUACAAAGAGCACCGGGAAAGCCAGGCCAGGAUCAGGCGUGGGUCAGCCCACGCGCGAGUCUCGGCAGGGAGAUUUUGGUCUGAAAGGUGACUGUUCUCUGCAGGGAGGCUGACUACUUUUCCAUCGGAAAAGUAAAAGAAAUCAGUGUAAAGCUGGUAGCAAGCAGCUUUUACGCAGAGGCUCGUUGCAGAGCUGCUUCUUCGCAGAUAAUUGCUGCUAUUAUAAUUUGGGAUGGUUCGAGGGAGUUGACGUUUGGGGACUUGUUUUUUUGUUGGAUUAUUUUUCCAGCCCAAAUGCAACCCUCGGCUCCCAAAUCCACAGGACCGAGUGCGAUCAGUGGAGACAUCUGGAGACAUGGGGCCUAUGGUACCUUGCAGCCGUCCCAGCCUGUGCUGCCCCGGG